rnacentral:pre_miRNA from 1 species
UUUCAAAGCGGCAGUGCCGCAUGGAGCCUGGGGUCAGCUGGGGACUCAGAAUCCUUAGCUGACUCCGGGCUCCAUGCAGCGCUGCUGCUUUGAAA